CUACGUGCCAGCAGCCGCGGUAAUACGUAGGUCCCGAGCGUUGUCCGGAUUUAUUGGGCGUAAAGCGAGCGCAGGCGGUUAGAUAAGUCUGAAGUUAAAGGCUGUGGCUUAACCAUAGUACGCUUUGGAAACUGUUUAACUUGAGUGCAAGAGGGGAGAGUGGAAUUCCAUGUGUAGCGGUGAAAUGCGUAGAUAUAUGGAGGAACACCGAUGGCGAAGGCAGGUCUCUGGGCUGUAACUGACGCUGAGAAGCGAAAGCAUGGGGAGCGAACAGGAUUAGAUACCCUGGUAGUCCAUGCCGUAAACGUUGGGCACUAGGUGUGGGGAACAUUCCACGUUUUCCGCGCCGUAGCUAACGCAUUAAGUGCCCCGCCUGGGGAGUACGGCCGCAAGGCUAAAACUCAAAGAAAUUGACGGGGGCCCGCACAAGCGGCGGAGCAUGCGGAUUAAUUCGAUGCAACGCGAAGAACCUUACCAAGGCUU
rnacentral:rRNA from 1 species